UGGGUGGGAUAUUGUGGAUGCAUGCGGAUAUGAUGCAAAGCCUGUAUAGCUUUACCUAACACCACAGUUUGAGCAACUGAAAGAUGGUGCAAGUGAUUUAUCUGUAACGUCAAUGAUGAUGAAGAGUGAAAUGAGCCCUUCUAGAAUGAGGUAGGUCAGAUGAAAAAAUAUUUCAAAUCUUUGUCAGUGCAUCAGAACCAGCACCUAACAAGAGAAGUGAGUAAAAAGAUACAAUAACCUCCAGCGCACCCACUAGGCCACUCCAGUUCAUAAAAGGCAUGAAGAUGUGGUAGGCUCGAUGGUUGGAAGCUUCUAUGGAUCUUUGUCAUUGCAUCACUCGGGCGACCGGGCCACCUAACAUGCAGAUAACAAGAGAGCAUAUUUCAAAAUUUCUGGAAUGACAUCACUGUUAGAACCUUUGGUGAUAAUUUAUUGAACCACUGUCCCUGUCCAACUCCCGUUUCCAGGAGAUAAUAAAAAAUGAGAAAAAAUCUUUCUUGCUAUAUUUCUGCUGUUCCACUUUC
rnacentral:lncRNA from 1 species